GUUAAUUGUGUAUGUUCUAUAUUAUAUGGUUUUACUUGUUCUAACCAUUUUAUUCCUAAUAUUAUAUCUAUUUUUUGCAUUUCUUCCUUUACUUCGAAUUCUAUUUUUAUUUUUCUAACUCCUAAUAUUAUUUCUUUUUCUGCUAGAUUUUUAUUAUUUAUUAAACUUCUUGGUAAGUCUGGGCAUAUAUUAUUGUCGGUUUUUAUUUCUUCAUUUUUUACUAGAUAUUUUGCUAUAUAAUUUUCUUCUUGUCCUGUAUUCAAAAGUAUUAGAUAUUCUUUUUCAUUUAUUUUUCCUGUUAUGUAAUAUUGGUUUAAAUUACUUAUUGAGUUUGUUUCAUAACUUGUUCUUUUUGAUGAGCUUGAUGAUUCUGGCUUUUCAUUAGCUAUUCUUUUCGUUGUACUUAUUCUAUCAUUUACUAUUUCUAAAUUUUCUUCUGUAUCUAUGUCUCUAUAGGUAUAAUCAUUAUAAUCUAUUGUUUUUACUAUUUGUUCAAAUGGGCUUUCUAUUUGUAUUUUGUUAAUCUUAUUUUUUCCUGUUAUUUUAUGUUUUGUUGUUAAUACAUAUAGAUUUUUACAUCUUGCUGUAAAUAUUUUACUUCCUGGGGUUAACUCUAUUCCUGAUAUUUUCCAAUAUAAUACUAAUGAUUUAUCUAUAUUCCUAUCUGUUACUGCUACUGAAUAAUUUGCACUUAUUAUAAAUUUAAAUUUUUGGUAUAUUAGAUUUCCUUUUACGGCAGUUAUUAUGCUUUUUUCUAUAGGUUUUAUAAUUCUAUCGUCUGCUAAAUAUAAUUCUAUUGGUGUAUCUAUUCCUUCUCUAAAACAUGCUUUUAUUAAUAUCUCUGUACCUCCAAGGUGUACAUAUUUUAUUGGAUCUCCUUUACUUUUUAUAUCAUUUAUUUCUUUAUUAAUUAUUCUUUUUGUUACUAGUGGUAUACUAGCUUUUCCUUUUGCAUAUCUGCAAUCUAUUACAUGUUCUUUUUGGCAUACUACAUAAUAUUCAUCUUUUUUCCUAGUAAAAAUAUUUUUUAUUGUUGGUAUUUUAAAUAUUUUGUCUACACUUAAAUCUAAUUCUUUUCCUUUUAUUUCAUCAAAUAUAUUACUGUCAAAUAUUAUUUUUUGUUCCGUUCCUUCAUCAUUUAAAUAUUCUUCCUUUGUUAUUAUUUUUAUAUCUUCUUCAGUCAUUUGAUUCAUCUAUUUCGCUAUCUAUUUCAUUAUCUGUUUCGUUUUCUGAAAUUUCAUAUAUACUAUCUUCACUUUCUAAUUCAUAAUCUAUAUAAUCUAUCUGCAUGUAUUCGGUAUUUUCUAUUUUUAUUUCUGAUAUUUGUUUAUUUUUUGGAUUUUUAGGUAAUUUACAAUCUCUAGCUAAAUGUCCUAACUUUCCACAAUUAUAACAAGUACAUUCUUUUAUAGAUUUCUUUUUUCUAUAUGGUCUUUUAUGUUUAUAAUUUUUUACAUAGUAUCUUUUUCUUGGUUUUUUAUAUUUAUAUUUUGAUUUUUUAUAUUUCUUAUAUUUCUUAUGUCUUUUUCUUUUCUUAUAAUAUCUUUCUUCGCAUCCAAAUUGGGGUGCUAUUUUAUUUUUGCAACAAGCUAAAUUUCUUAUUAAUGUUUUUUCCAUUUUUAAUUCUUCUCUAUAUUUUUCACAUAAGUUUCUAUACCAUUGUUGUAAAUAUUUUAUUCUUGCUCCUAACGUAUCUACUAUUUUUGCUUCUUCCCAACUUUUUAUUAUUUUCGAACUAAAUGGCUCGGGUAAUUUAUUAAAAUAUAAUUUUCUUAUUUCUUUACUUUCUUCUAUACUAUAUGCUCCUUUGUAAUAAUAUUCUUUAAAUGCGCAAGUAUAUUCAUCUAUAUAACACAUAUUACAUAUUGCUAAUUUUAACAUUAAAUUUCUAUUUGUAUCUUUUUCUUCAUUUUGUUCUUCUUCGAUUGUUGUCGUACUACCAAAUUCAUCUUUUAUAGCUGUUUCAUAUUUUUUUAAUAAUUCUAUAGGUGUUAGUUUAGUUGUUGUCGAUGAUGUUCCUUCUAUAGGUUUAUUAGUUCUUAAUACUUUUUUGCUAUUUUCGGUUAGAUUUGCAAACCAUAGUUUUACUGAUCCUAUUAGUGUUUUUUCUAUAUAUUCCGGUGCAUCUGUUAUAUUUAUAUUAUUAUCUAAUAAUUGUUUUGUCAUAUAUCCUAUCCAUAAUUGUAUUGUUUUUUCUGUAUCUAUUACACAGUCUAGAUCUAAAAAGUUAUAAUUUUUAUUCACUAUUUGUUUUGGUAUCCAUUUAUCAUAUUCAUUAUAUUUUUUAAACUUAUUCUUAUAAUAUAUAGGUUUUCUUAUUUCUGUUGUUUUAGGUAUUAUAUUUUCAUUUUCUUUUUUAUCAAGAGUAUUUAUUUCUGUGUGGGUAUUUUCUAAGUUUUCCUCAUAAAUUUUUUGUUCUUCAUUGAUUUCUAAAUUUUUUGUAUUUGUUAAUAUUUCUGUGUAUGUUUCACUAUCUUCGGACUCAUAAUUAUCUGUCUCUUCAAUAUCUAUAUUAUUUAUUUCUAAUUCUUCAUUUUUUAUUUCUAAUUUUUCCUUAAAUUGAUUUAUCUCAUUUAGUAAUUUCUGUUCUCUAUCUUUUUCUUCUUUUUCUUUUUGUCUUUGUUCAUACAGUUCUUUUAACAUUUGUAAUUCUUUUUCUAAUUCAGCAAUUCUACUAUUUUUGGUUUCUUCUAUUUUUCGUAUUUCUUCCGUAGUUUGUUGUUUUAUUUUUUCUAUUUCUUUUUUCCUAUCUAUCUCUUCAUUUUCUUUUUCUAUUCUUACCAUUGCUGUUAAUUUAUCUUCUAAUUUUAAUUCUUCUUUUUCUAACAUUAGAUAUAAAUGUUCACCUAUUUUCUUAUAUCUUCGUCCUAGAUUAGAAAAUACUAUUUUUAUUUUUGAUCCUUCGUAGUUUUCAUAUAUUUUUUCAUCUAUUAUAAAUUCUUCUUUAUUCAUUUUAUUGUGAAUAGGUCAUGUUGAUAUACAUAUUCUAAACUAUCUAUUUGUGAUUCUAAUUUUGAUAUUUCAUCUUUUUGUGUAUCUAUUGAAUUUUUACUAACUCCGGCAAAUAUAUUAUAAUGUAGUCUUUCUAUUCUUAUUUUUAAUUCUUUACGUUUUUCAGAGAUAAUUUGUCUUAAUUCUUUAUAUUGUUGUAUUUUAUUCAUUUUAAAUUAUAUUUAUAAUAUCUCGGUGGAUAUCUAAAUCUAAUUUUAUCAUAAUUAGGUGGUAUAUGUUUCAUUCUUCUAGAUUUUAAAUGUGUUAUUAAUUUUGAUUCAAUACUAGAUAUUAAUGUAAUUAAGUAGGCUAGUUUUUGUGGAUUUUCUUUUGUUUUAUUUAGACUUAUAUAUUCUAAAUAGUUACUAAUUAAAAAUUCUUUAAUUUUUCUAAAAGCUUCUCUAUUUUUAAAUGGUCUUCUCAUAAUUAAUCCAAUCCAAUCUAAAUUCAUAACAUAUAUGCUACUGCUGUAUUUUUUAAAUAACUGGGCUCUGAUACCAUUUGUAGGGGGUGCGUAUAACUAACUUAUGAAAUAGAUCUAUUAUAUGUAUAAUGAAUCUAUUUUUCUUUGUGCGUGGAUAUUUCUUAACUUCUCUAUAUAUUUUUAUUUUAAGUCUAUUUAUGUUAGUUUUAUUGAUAUUCAUAUCUUGGGGGGUGAUAAAUAUCCAAUUAGAUUAUCUUUCUCUUAAAUAUUAGUAAAAAAAUAGUGAAAAGAUGAUUUUGUCUAAAGCAAAAAUGUUUAAUGAAAGGCAAAAUAUUCAAACAACAUUUCUAAGGCCCUUCAUAUCUAAAGCAAAGUCUUUUAAUGAAGGACAAAAAGUUCAAAUCUUAAAUAUUAGUAAAAAAAUAGUGAAAAGAUGAUUUUGUCUAAAGCAAAAAUGUUUAAUGAAAGGCAAAAUAUUCAAACAACAUUUCUAAGGCCCUUCAUAUCUAAAGCAAAGUCUUUUAAUGAAGGACAAAAAGUUCAAACAACAGUUCUAAAGCCUUCACACUCUUAAUAUAACUAGUUUAGUCACACGUGCCUCGCACGAGUAGUGUCUGGUUAUUUAAAAUUAAAUAAUUUUAUUUAUUGCAAAAAAUUUUAAUGAAGUGUAAAAUUUUAAAUCACUUUUCAAAGAUUAUUCAUACUUUAAUAUAAUAAUAUAAACAUAAACAUAUGUUAGUGUAAGCACCUAUAUAUUUUACAUCAUCUCUUUUGCGUUUGUCAUGCAAUACCUUUUUUUCUUAUUGUCAGAGGUUAAGAGAAAUACAUCAGUUUGAACCAUAUUUGUGGUAAAGUUAUUUUUCUUUUUUGUUUCUAUAUUUAAAUCUUUUCUUAUUUUUAAAGUCAAAUAUUUAUAAAAUUGUUGAUAACGUUCUUAUUAGGUACAAAUUGAUCUAUAGAAUUUCACGCAACUAAAAAGACGAAUAAUCCAUAGAUAAAAUAAAAUUCUGAUUUUUGGUACAUAUUACAUAUUAUAAUUCUAUAAAUUCGACAAUAAAUUAAUAGUGCAUAGUGAAUUAGGUAAUAGCUACAUAAUUUUAUCUUUUGUUCACCUCCUAUUCUUUUUAGUACACUCUAAUUCAUCUUUUUUGAGUCUAAAAAAACAUAAUGAUAUUCACACGGACUGCAUCAUCUAGUAAGUCCAAAUUCUUGAUAUACCCUUAUAAUAUGAUUUUUCUAACUUAGAACUCCAUUUAGUUGUCAUUAGAAACAAAAAUUAGUCACCAAAAAUAGGAAGAAACUUAACGCCCUUUAUACACAACCAAGACACAUAUAGAGUUAUAAUCGAAUAAGCUUUUAGAGAGAAAAAGAGCAAUAACUAUUACAAUAGUGCAUUAGUGCUAUAUAUUGUUGCCUUUAAAAUUUGUGUAAAAGUACCAAAUACCUUUGAAAACAGUAAAAGUUGCAUCAAUCAAAAGAGAAUCACCACACAUGUAAUAUAAACCUUGAUUUUUUUUUGAAAAGAUAAACCUUUAAUUUUUUUGGCUACUUCAUUCGGCGACAACACGCUUGUUUCGUCCAAUUU
rnacentral:lncRNA from 1 species